AAAAUAUAUACAACAAAUAAAGGAAAAAGAUAUAAAAUACGAAAGAUGAAAAAUAAAAUAAAAGUUAAUAAAAAAUAAAAAUAAAAAUAAAAGAAUGUGCACAAAAAAAGAAGUUUGAGGUUUUAAAAUUAUAAAGAAGAAAUAAAAAAAAGUGCAAACAAAAAGAUUUAAGAAAAAGCAAGAAAAAAAUAAAAAAUGAAAAUACAAAAUAUAUAAAAUAAAAUUUGAGAAAAAAAUGAGAAAAAGAAGAAAAAAAUAAAAAAUGAAGAGGCAAAAAUAUGAAAUAAAACAAAAAGAAAAAAAUUUAUAGAAAAUUUUAAAACAAAAAAAAAGAGUGAACAAAAAAAUGAAAGCACAUAAAAAAAAAAAGAAGAAAAAUUUGAAAGGAGAAAAAGUUAAUGAAAAAUUAUAAAAAUGCAAUAAAAAAUAACCGAGAAUGAUAAAAUAAAAAAAGAAAAGAAAAAAAGAUAGAAAAAUAAAAAAUUUCAAAACUUAAUAAAAAUUUAUGAAACUAUAAAAAAAGAAAAAAAAUUAAAGCAAAAGAAAAAAGAUAAAUAAAGCACAAAAAAGAAAAAUACAAAAUACAACAAAAAAUAUAAAAAGUAAGAAAAUAAAAAAGGAAAAAAAUUGAAGAAAAAUUUCAAAAAUGAAAUGGAAUGACAAAAUGAAAAAAAAAAUAGUUUAAAAAGGACAAAAAAUUGAAAAACAUAUAAGACCUAAUAAUAAAAAUAUAAAAAGUCAGACAAAAAAUUAAAAAAGAGAAAAGUUAAUGCAAAAUAAAAAAAAGUAUGAGAAUUUAAAAACGCAAAUAAGAAAUGAAAGGAAAUUUGUGAAAAAAGAAAUAAGAAAAGCAACAAAAGAAUAAAAAUGAAAAGACAAGAGGUUUGGAAUAAAAAACAGAAAAAUAAAAAUUUUUAAAAUAACGAAAAAAUUAAAACAAGUAAAAAUGAAAGCAUAUGCAAAAAAAGCAAAAAGAAGGAAAAUUUUGAAGGGAAAAAGUUAUUAAAAAAUUACAAAGUAGGACAAAAAUAGCAAAAAAAAUAAAUAAAAUAAAAAAGAUUCAAAAAAUAAAAAAAAAAAAAUUUUGAACUUUAUAAAAAUUUUUAAAAUAUAAAUAAAAAUAAAUGGAAAAAUAAAUUAAGAUAAAAUAUUAAUAUAGAAGAAAAAAUUAAAUAAAAUACCAAAAAAGCAAAAAAUAAAAAAGUAAGAUAUUAAAAAAUGUGCGAAUAAAAAAUAGAAAAAAAUUUUAGUUCAGAAUAUACAAAGAAAAACAAAAAAAAAAUAUAACAAAUAUAGGAAAAAGAUAUAAAAAAAUCAAAGAUAAAAAAUAAAAUAAAAGUUAAUGAAAAAUAUAAAUAAAAACAAAAGAAAGUGCACAAAAAAAAGUCUAAUAAUUUAAAAAUGCAAAUAAGAAAUGAAAGGAAAUUUGUGAAAAAAUAAGAAAAGCAAGAAAAGAAUAAAAAUGAAAAGACAAAAGAUUUGGAAUAAAAAAACAAAAAAGAAAUAUAAAAAAUUUUAAAACAACGAAAAAAUUAAAACAAGUAAAACUGAAAGCAUAUGAAAAAGAAAAAAAGGCAAAAAGAAAGAAAAUUUUGAAGGGAAAACGUUAUUGAAAAAUUACAACAUAGAACAAAAAAAAUGAAAAUGAAAAAAUAAAAAAGAUUAAAAAAUUUUAAAAUUUAAAUUUUAUAAAAGUUUUUAAAAAUAUAAUAUCUAUAACAUUAUAAAAUUUUUAUAAAAAAACAAAGUAAGAGGAAAAAUAAAAUAAGAGAAAAUAUUAAAGCAAAAGGAAAAAGAAAAAAAAUUAAAAAUAAACAAAAGCACAAAAUAGAAAAAAUAACGAGUCAAAAGAAAAAAAAUUAGAAAAAUAAAAAAAGUAAUAAAAAUUUCAAAAAUGAAGAAAAAAUGACAAAAUAGAAAAAAAAAAUUAGUUUAUAAAAUACGAACAAAAAAUAUAACAAAUAAUAAGAAAUAAUGGUAUAAAAAAUGAAAAGGGAUUACAAAAUGGAAAAAAUUAAUUUAGAAAACAUAAGGAAAAAAAGUAAUAAGAAAAAAAAUGAAAGAUAAAAAAAUUAACAAAGGGAAAAAUUUAAUACAAAAUAAAAACAAGACAAGGAAGGGCAAAAAAAAGUUAAAACAAGAAAAAAAUAAAAAAUGAAGAGUCAAAAUUAUGAGAUAAAACAAAAAGAAAAAAAGUUUAUAGAAUAUUUUGAAACAAAGAAAAAAGUGAAAACAAAAAAAUAUGAAAGCACAUGAAAAAAUAAGUAAAAAAAAAGAAGAAAAAUUUGAGAGGAGAAAAAUUUAAAGAAAAAUUAUAAAAAUGCAAUAGAAAAGAACCAACAAUGAUAAAAUAAAAAAAUACAAUAAAAAUAUAAAAAGUAAGAAAAUAAAAAAGACAAAAAUGAAAAAAAAAAAAGUUCAAAAAAUACAAAAAAAUUGAAAAACAUAUAAGACAUAAUGAGAAAAUAAUAUAAAAAGUCAAAGACAAAAAAUUAAAAAAGAGAAAAGUUAAUUCAAAGUAAAAAUGAAAAACAAAGGAGAAAAUGCAAAAAAAAAAAAAGAAAAAAUUAUGAGAAUUUAAAAACGCAAAUAAGAAGUGAAGGGAAAUUUGUGGAAAAAAAAGCGUAAAGAAAUAUAAAUAAUUUUAAAACAUUGAAAGAAUUAAAACAAAUAAAAAUGAAAGCAUAUGAAAAAAAGGCAAAAAGAAAGAAAAUUUUGAAGGGAAAAAGUUAUUGAAAAUUUAUAAAAUAGAACAAAAAAUAGCAAGAAAAAUAGACAAAAAAAUAAGAAAAUGAAAAAAUAAAAAAUUUUGAACUUUAUAAAAAAUUUUAAAAUAUAAAUAAAAAAUAAAUGAAAAAAUAAAUUAAGAGAAAAUAUUAAUAUAAAAGAAAAAUUAAAUAAAAUACGAAAAAAGGAAAAAAUAAAAAUAAACAAAAACAAAAAGUAACAAAGCAAGAAAAUAAAAAAUUUACGAAUCAAAAAAUAUAAAAAGACAAAAUGAAUAAAAAUUUCAAAUACAAAAUGGAAAAAACUUUUAGUUUAGAAUGUGCAAAGGAAAACAAAAAAUAUAUAUAUAACAAAUAAAGGAAAAAGAUGAAAAAUAAAAUAAAAGUUAAUAAAAAAUACAAAUAAAAAUAAAAGAAUGUGCACAAAAAAGAAGUUUGAGGUUUUAAAAUUAUAAAGAAGAAAUAAAAAAAAGUGCAAACAAAAAGAUUUAAGAAAAAGCAAGAAAAAAAUAAAAAAUGAAAAUACAAAAUAUAUAAAAUAAAAUUUGAGAAAAAAAUGAGAAAAAGAAGAAAAAAAAUAAAAAAUGAAGAGGCAAAAAUAUGAAAUAAAAAAAAAAGAAAAAAAUUUAUAGAAAAUUUUAAAACAAAAAAAAAGAGUGAAAAAAAAAAUGAAAGCACAUAAAAAAAAGAAGAAAAAUUUGAAAGGAGAAAAAGUUAAUGAAAAAUUAUAAAAAUGCAAUAAAAAAUAACCGAGAAUGAUAAAAUAAAAAAAGAAAAGAAAAAAAGAUAGAAAAAUAAAAAAUUUCAAAACUUAAUAAAAAUUUAUGAAACUAUAAAAAAAGAAAGAAAGAAAAUUAAAGCAAAAGAAAAAAGAUAAAUAAAGCACAAAAAAAGAAAAAAUACAAAAAACAAAAAAUAUAAAAAGUAAGAAAAUAAAAAAGGACAAAAAUUGAAGAAAAAUUUCAAAAAUGAAAUGGAAUGACAAAAUGAAAAAAAAAUAGUUUAAAAAGGACAAAAAAUUGAAAAACAU
rnacentral:lncRNA from 1 species